rnacentral:piRNA from 1 species
UAGUUGAGAGGGACAGAUGCUGGUC